UAGGGAAUCUUCGGCAAUGGGGGGAACCCUGACCGAGCAACGCCGCGUGAGUGAAGAAGGUUUUCGGAUCGUAAAGCUCUGUUGUUAAGGAAGAACGAGUGUGAGAAUGGAAAGUUCAUGCUGUGACGGUACUUAACCAGAAAGGGACGGCUAACUACGUGCCAGCAGCCGCGGUAAUACGUAGGUCCCGAGCGUUGUCCGGAUUUAUUGGGCGUAAAGCGAGCGCAGGCGGUUAGAAAAGUCUGAAGUGAAAGGCAGUGGCUCAACCAUUGUAGGCUUGGGAAACUGUUUAACUUGAGUGCAGAAGGGGAGAGUGGAAUUCCAUGUGUAGCGGUGAAAUGCGUAGAUAUAUGGAGGAACACCGGUGGCGAAAGCGGGUCUCUGGUCUGUAACUGACGCUGAGGCUCGAAAGCGUGGGGAGCGAACAGG
rnacentral:rRNA from 1 species